rnacentral:rRNA from 1 species
AUUGAACGCUGGCGGCAGGCCUAACACAUGCAAGUCGAGCGGCAGCGGGACCUUCGGGUUGCCGGCCAGCGGCGGACGGGUGAGUAAUGCCUAGGAAUCUGCCUGGUAGUGGGGGAUAACGCGGGGAAACUCGCGCUAAUACCGCAUACGUCCUACGGGAGAAAGCGGGGGCUCUUCGGCCCUCGCGCUAACAGAUGAGCCUAGGUCGGAUUAGCUAGUUGGUGAGGGAACGGCUCACAAAGGCGACGAUCCGUCGCUGGUCUGAGAGGAUGAUCAGCCACACUGGAACUGAGACACGGUCCAGACUCCUACGGGAGGCAGCAGUGGGGAAUAUUGGACAAUGGGCGAAAGCCUGAUCCAGCCAUGCCGCGUGUGUGAAGAAGGUCUUCGGAUUGUAAAGCACUUUAAGUUGGGAGGAAGGUCUGUAAGCUAAUAUCUUGCAGUCUUGACGUUACCAACAGAAUAAGCACCGGCUAACUCUGUGCCAGCCGCCGCAGUAA